rnacentral:piRNA from 1 species
UACAGAGUGAGUUCCAGGACAGCCAUA